rnacentral:rRNA from 1 species
AUGGCAAAUACAUGUGCCAGCAGCCGCGGUAAUACAUGAGUGGCUAGCGUUACUCGUAGUUACUGAGCGUACAGGAUGCGUAGACUGUUUAAACGCAAAAAAUAACUAAAUUAUUUGUAUUUAAAUUUAUUUUUUGCAAAUAAAACUUGAAUAUUUUAAAAGUUUAUAAUUGUUACAAAUGAGUGAUAAAAUACUGAGAGUUAGUAAUUAUUUCCAAUUGGUGAAGACAUUAUGCUAUAAAAUAUUGACGUUGAUGCAUUAAAGUAUAGUUAACAACUAGGAUUUGAGACCCUACUAGUCUAUACCUU